CCCUGGAGGGGUUGAAGAGUCUGGCUGACCCAGCGCUGAGGGAUCUGGUGGAGUUGGGAACGGUCAGGGUGAGGGUCAUGGUUGGACUGGAGGAGAUUCAAGUGCUUUUCCAACUCAGAUGAUUCUGCGAUUCUUGCUAAGAGUCUGUUUUGUCCUU